rnacentral:rRNA from 1 species
GAUGAACGCUGGCGGCGUGCUUAACACAUGCAAGUCGAACGGAAAGGCCCAAGCUUGCUUGGGUACUCGAGUGGCGAACGGGUGAGUAACACGUGGGUGAUCUGCCCUGCACUUCGGGAUAAGCCUGGGAAACUGGGUCUAAUACCGGAUAGGACCACUUCUUGGAUGUUGUGGUGGAAAGUUUUUUCGGUGUGGGAUGAGCUCGCGGCCUAUCAGCUUGUUGGUGGGGUAAUGGCCUACCAAGGCGUCGACGGGUAGCCGGCCUGAGAGGGUGUACGGCCACAUUGGGACUGAGAUACGGCCCAGACUCCGACGGGAGGCAGCAGUGGGGAAUAUUGCACAAUGGGCGCAAGCCUGAUGCAGCGACGCCGCGUGGGGGAUGACGGCCUUCGGGUUGUAAACUCCUUUCGCUAGGGACGAAGCGUUUUGUGACGGUACCUGGAGAAGAAGCACCGGCUAACCACGUG